CCCUCGAUUUGAUCGUACACUAAUCAUACACGCAAAUGAGUACGACCAAGCUCAAGGACUCACGGGAAGAUAUCACAACACAACUCUAGACACAAAUAAAAACAUACAAGCUUCAUAUUACAAGCCAGGGGCCUCGAGGGCUAGAAUACAGAAGCUCGAUAAACACACGAGUCAGCGGAAGCAACAAAUAUCUGAGUACAGACAUGAACAUGAUAAUGCCUUAGAGAAGGCUAGCACAAAAGAUACAACGAUCGAACGAGGCGAGGCCUCCUGCCUCGGAACCUCCUAAGUACUCCUCGUCGUCAGCGCCCCCCUCGUAGUAGUAGGCACCGUCGGGGUAGCAGUCGUCGUCGGUGGGAUACGCCAUCCCCGGGCCUCCAUCAUCUGGCCGCAGCGACGGAUCAAGGGGAAAAUGGGGAGCAAAGCAAUGGUGAGUACUCAUCCAAAGUACUCACAAGACUGACAUCAGAACUAUGGUAAGUAUGCAUCAGUAUCAAAGGAAGGGGUUAUAUGUGGACUGACUGCAGCAAUGCGAGAAUAGAGAGAGAAGGCCUAGUCCUAUCGAAGACUGGCAUCUUCUGGACUCUUGUAGCAAUAGACGAGAGUAGAGCAAGCAACACAAAUAUAUAGUCAUAUUGUUGCAGCAAUAUUAAUUAAAGUCAAGCCCAGAGAUUCUCCCUCAACUCUGUGUGAGGAAGCAAUUCUGGAGCAAACAUUCCUGUUAAUUAAGUAACAUUUGUAGCUGUAUAAGAUAGGGGCACAACUCAAAGUCGUCCUCUUACCAUGGACACGGCUAUCCGAAUAGUUAAUUUCUUCCCUCCACGGGUGGACCAAGUUUCCCGUCACGCUUGAUAAACUCUAGUCGGACACACUUUCCUGGGUCAUGCCUGACCUUGCAACAUCAACACGUCGUAGCCCCACCUAGGCUCAACAGAGAGGACAACCCGCCGGUCUAAAUCCUAAGCACGCAGGGGUGAUGGGGCCAUCACCCUUUGUGCUCCUGCAUGAUGCGAGGGCGGCCGUUGUCAGUCCUGGCACCUCUUAUACAAGAACAAUGCUUAUCCGGGCCACUCGGGCGCGCGCCGCUCCAUUGCUGACGUCUGAAGAGCUUCGGCUGAUAUCACGACGUCGAGUACCCAUAACUUCUCCCAUGUAGACAGUUAGUGCAAAAAGGUCUCCGGCCAACCGAGAUCAAACACCCAAAUCCUUAGCAUUUUAAUUAAAUCAUCGACACAUCCACGCGGAAAUCCAUCCAUAACACAUCAUUCAUCAAUGUUCCCAGUAACAAGGCCAAGUAAUCGUGUGGCUAUAACAUCAGAGGGAUCCGAGGUAUCACCCUCCAUGGAUUCCGAACGAUGUAACCGUCAAGAUGGUCAGGGAGGAAUCACGCUCGAUGGACCACGCUUGAUGGGUUGUACGAGAGAGUCGUUAUCGAAGGUGGGGAAAGAGGAAUCACCCUCCGAGAACCACCCCCGGUCAAGUACACUACAACGCUAACAUCGGAGUACGUAACGAGGUGUCACCCUCGAUACUCGAUAGUAGCUCUGCAGCGUCGUACAACUAAGGGGGGUGUGAGUGAUGUCUCGUGUCUUGGCUCGUCGAUCAGUUGAUCGAGACUUGACGAUAAAGCAGGGGCAACUAGACUAAGGGGGCAAAGGGGAUCAAUGCUCCACCUAUACUAAACAGUUUUUAGGUGCAGCAAAAUAAUGUAGCAGUUUAUCAAAAACAGGCUAUGCAUCAGAUAGAGGAGCUAACUACAACAGUAGCAAAAUUGUAAUGCAAGCAUGAGGGAGAAAGAAUAAGCGAUAUAGGAAUGAUCAAAGGGGUUUGCUUGCCUGGUUGCUCUAGAGACAAAAACGGAUCCUCGACUGGGAAGUAGUCGAUCAUCGGAUCAUCAUUGGUAUCUGGGUCUAUCGGAAAGGAAGCAACGUAGGGGGAACACAAUAAUUAACAGAGCAAUCAAAGGCAUUACGAAGCAUGACAUAGUUAUAUGCUGCGCUAGGCAUGAGCUAACACAAUACUACACAUCAUGGAUGGAUCGGGAAAAUAUCUCACAAUAUUUCCCGGGUAUGUGGAUACUACCGGGCAGCGUAUCCGGGUUCGUCCCGUUUUUCUGAUCAACUUUCAUUAACAAAUUAUUUUCAUCCGGGUUUACGAAUUAUUUUAUGUUAAUUUUUAAAGCUUAAAUGAUUUUGUGAAUUUCCGGAAUUCUUUUGAUCCGAAAAUAAAACAACAAAAACUCUUGUUACCUAGUGUUACUUUAGUCGUGUGUGUGUGUGACGGUGGGGCCAUUGGGAUUGGGUUGACCAAGUCAAAUUGACUGGUCAAUAGAGGAUAUGUGGCCCACACGUAAUAAACACAUAGAUUAAAUAUGGAUCAAAUCAAAAUGAGUGAUCCACAUGAAAUAGGCCUAGACUAAUUAAUCCCUAAAUUAAUAUAGACUAAUCAGGCAAACUAAUGGAACCGACCACUAGCGGUGCUUACCAUGUCUCGGCUGUGCCAUGGCCAGUCACAAGGCCACGACAAAUAUGGCCAGAAGUAGCAACGCAUCACCAGCAGUUGGGAGUCCCAUCAGAUGGGAGUAGCAGAAGCAACAAGCGAACAACAACAACCACACGAAACAGCUACGGCAAGCGGCGGCGGCAGCGGCAGCAGCACACCGCAGUGCAACAACACACGGAAGCAGUACUAGCAAUAGCAGGUGGGCGACAGCGAGCGGCGGCGGACGGGCGGACGGCCGCACACGCUGGUUUGCAGUUGGUGCGUGGGAGCGCCAGCACCAGAGCAGCAAAAGGCGACAUCAGCCGAGCAAAGCAGCCGCGGCAGUAAGCAAUAAGCAGAGAAGCAGCCGCAAAGUAGCAACAACAGCGGCAGGCUACGAGCAGCAUCUCAGCACGGGGGCAGCGGGCUCGCAGUCGGACGCGGCCAGGCGCGACGAGGGGCGUGGGGGGCGGACAUGGCCGAGAGCAGGCUCGCGCGUGCAGUACGGAUGCGGGCAAGGACGAGUACAACCGACCUCGGGGACGGCGGCAAACGACGACGAAUCGAAGGGGGCGAGGGGGAAUCGGUAGAGGAGCUCACCGCGGGUCUGGUGACGUGUUUGGGGAGGCGCGGGGUGGACCGGAGAGAUAACAGCGACGGCGAGAUGGCGACGGCUGGACGAAGAAUAUAGCUCCCCGCCCUGCACCAAGGCUCGGAACGGAUGCGCACGAGCGCGGCGAAACUCCAGGGAGUGUGAGGCCGUUGGACGCGUCAACAAGGGAGAGGCAGCGGUGUCCGCGUGAGCUCGCGAGCUCGAAUUCGAACCAGAGGGGAGGGGGCUCGAUGGGGAAGGAGAGAGGAUCAGACGAGUGAGGGCUAGGAUUUUGGUUGGACACAAUUAUAGGCCACGGAGGAGGACGUGGAGGCCAUCCAUGGCCAUGGCGGCUGGAUGCUGCUACGCUUCACCCCUGCCUCGUGUAGCGUGAGGUAGGGGAAAGGCUGUUCGUGGACUGGGCUGCGAUGCAUUGUAGCACUAGAGCCCAAGUGCACAGUGCAUGUUUCCUCUUUUCUUUUUUCUUUUUAUUUGUUUUCUGUUUUG
rnacentral:lncRNA from 1 species